CGGACGGGUGAGUAACGCGUGGGUAACCUGCCUCAUACAGGGGGAUAACAGUUAGAAAUGACUGCUAAUACCGCAUAAGACCACAGGAUCGCAUGAUCCGGUGGUAAAAACUCCGGUGGUAUGAGAUGGACCCGCGUCUGAUUAGCUAGUUGGUGGGGUAACGGCUCACCAAGGCGACGAUCAGUAGCCGACCUGAGAGGGUGACCGGCCACAUUGGGACUGAGACACGGCCCAG
rnacentral:rRNA from 1 species